ACAUGCAAGUCGAACGGCAGCACGGGGGCAACCCUGGUGGCGAGUGGCGAACGGGUGGGUAAUACAUCGGAACGUGUCCUGUAGUGGGGGAUAGCCCGGCGAAAGCCGGAUUAAUACCGCAUACGACCUAAGGGAGAAAGCGGGGGAUCUUCGGACCUCGCGCUAUAGGGGCGGCCGAUGGCAGAUUAGCUAGUUGGUGGGGUAAAGGCCUACCAAGGCGACGAUCUGUAGCUGGUCUGAGAGGACGACCAGCCACACUGGGACUGAGACACGGCCCAGACUCCUACGGGAGGCAGCAGUGGGGAAUUUUGGACAAUGGGGGAAACCCUGAUCCAGCAAUGCCGCGUGUGUGAAGAAGGCCUUCGGGUUGUAAAGCACUUUUGUCCGGAAAGAAAACCUCUUGGAUAAUACCUGAGGGGGAUGACGGUACCGGAAGAAUAAGCACCGGCUAACUACGUGCCAGCAGCCGCGGUAAUACGUAGGGUGCGAGCGUUAAUCGGAAUUACUGGGCGUAAAGCGUGCGCAGGCGGUUUGUUAAG
rnacentral:rRNA from 1 species